AAUAAAAAAAUAAAAAUCCGUCGCUGCACUAAACAGACACGAAACUGAGAAAGAGUCAGACAGACAGAGAGAUCGAAACCCAAAAACCUCACCGAAAGAGCAAGGAAUCAAUCAAAAUGCAGAGCGAUUUCUAGAGAGAGAGAGAUGCUCAAAUGCAGGCAGAGAAGGAAGGAGCUAAAUGUUGCUCAUUGGUCAGUGCGCAUUCCAACUCUCUCUCUCUCUCUGAAAAACCCAAAAUUUUCUCUCACUUUCUCCAGCUCCAUACAGAAAAGCUUGAAGAUAUUGGGUAAACAUGCUCUUUCAGCAGAUUAUACUGGGAAAAGCUAUUCACUGGAAUUAUCUUCUGUAUUAUUCUUGGUUCAGCUAUUCCUUAUUCUUAAGUUAUAAAAGUGCAUCCAUGACUCAAGUCACUCAACCACAAUUUCUGAGAUUCAUGUAUCAUUGUGCCUAUGGUCCAUGGAUCAAAUAGCAUCUCCUCCUCCCAUAAAUAAAUGGUGGAUGUGAGGUACGGUUCAAUCCUGUGAAGAUGUGUGAUUUAUAUUUACCUUAUGUAUUAUUUGUUAAGAAAUGGCAUUACAAUUUCAGUUAAGUUAUGUAUAUUUAUGUAUUAUUUUGAGGACAAAGCACUGGUUUUACGCUAUACCAGAGUCUGUAGCAUGUAUUCAACUCAACUAAAUUUAAAUUUAAUCCCAGCUAUUUAGGUAGGCUUAAUUGACAGAUGUCUAUAGUCUGUCCUCUUUGCUAUCUCUGUGACAGAUGUCCAAAUGAGCAUCCGCUGGAAGAUGAGCAUUUAUACUAUGAUAAUUUGCAAUCAUGCUGUUCUCAUUGAUUUCUGUAAGAAAAAUCUAAUGUUCUGUUGCUGGCUUGGUCCCCAGUCACUGGCAUGUUUUAGUGACAAUUAUCAGGUUUUCAAAUGCCAACCAAAUAAUUAUGUAUUUUCGGGGUUUUAGACUUUAAAUUCAAUUUAAAUAAGAUGGUCGUGUCAUGGUGUUGGUUCACUUGUGAUUACCCAAGAGCAGGCUAGUGACUUCAGAAUGGAGCUUCACGUUGUGAAGAGAAUCAUCGUUUGUGGAGAGAUUCGAAAGUAUUGUAGUAGUUUGGGAUGUCACCCUAGCUAACAGGAAGUCAACAUGUGUCAUCAUUUGGUAAAUGAGAGGCUUCCAUUAGCAUGAAACGGGCUAAGGUUGACAUGUAUCUCAUAGGACAGGAAUGACAUGUAUCCCAGGGUACAAAAGAGUGUCAUCACCCUAGGAAGGCUGCUGGUUUAGUACAUCCUCCACGGCAUAGUCAUCUCUGUCCCUAGAUUGUGUCACUGUGCUAGACAGUUUGCUACCCCGCUGUGCGAGCAAGAGUGUUGCCUUUGGCCAAUGCCAGUGUGGAGGUUGUAUAUGGUAAUCACAUCAGGUGUGGAGAAUCUACUGGGUCCCAUUCUUAGAGGAUAUAAGGUGGAGGUACCCUCCUUGACAUUGCCAAACCUCCUUAUACUUCUUGGGCCCUGCUUCCAACCCAGGCAGGCAUAGGAUGCAAAUUUGGGUCCUUGAAAUUGAUGUAAAUUCCCAACUGUGCAGAGAUGUGUUAAAAUGUGGACCCCUCAAAUAUUGCUGAUACAACAUUUUUUCAUUGGUUGACGGAUGCUCUGCAGCUCAAGGUGUAUAAUUCUCUUCUCAUUGUAGAAGUAGUGGUUUGGCUUGGGCACCCCCAAUUUGGCAUCUCAAUCACCGAGUCUUUUUUUCAAUAAAUGGUAACAUUUUAUCUCUUUGACCAGCAUAUAUGUUCAUAUUAGACCAAUCUAUGAGCUAUGAAUUAUAUCGGUUACAAAUUUAAAACAUAGAGCUGUAGUAGUUUGCUGGCUCAUAAUAAUCGCAGAACAUUUCUGCUGACAGUUCCUUGGCAAAGCUUUUGUAUUUGAAACAAAAAUUAAGCAGAAUUUGACAUGAGCCGGUGCUGUGCCACUAUUUUUUGAUACUUUAAAUUCACUUCUCCUUUUUUUGAUGAGAUCAAUUGAAAUGUUUGUUUAAGAACUAGCUAAAGUAGAUAUGGGAUGCAAUAAUUUGGUUGGUCACCACUAUUAUAAAAAAUAUUCUGGUUGAUUACCUGUUAAUAUUCUAAAUGCGGGUGAGAGAAACCGAUUCAGAAACUAUUCAUAAUUAUCAAUCAGAAAUCAGAAAGAAAAUGAAUUUAGAACUAUGGAAAAUUUCCAUGUAUGUUUCUUACGGAUGUCAUAACUGGGGAAUCUCUUCACAAUAAACUAGUGUAGGGUAUUUAUUUAGCUCACCAUAGCCUACUGAUUUUAUGUAGUAUUUAUUUUAUUUUUUCGUAAUCCGGCAUUUUUUAAUAAUCCAAGAAAUUUUGUUAUACUUCUAUAUCAGAUGUUUCCUUUACCCUUGUUUGACCUCUAAAACAAUUUAUGAGCAUCUUCAACAUCUGGUCAUUGGUUUGUUGUUAAGGUCCUUAAGGACUUGAAGCUUAUGCUGGUGAGUUGAAUAACUGGGAGGCAAGAGGGGUUGGCUCUGAAUGGUAGUACAAUCUUGAUUGUGACUCUAGCACUCAGACAUUGUUAUCAAAUCUUUAUUACUGUUAGUUUAAAGAAUGUGCUUGUGAAUUUAAGUUUUGGAUUAUCAUUAUGUUAAUUAAAAGGCUUAAAGGCAUGCAUAUGAUUUCUAAGUAGAGACCAUUGGAGAAUAUUCAAUUUUCUUAAGCUGCUAAAGUGGAUUUGGUUAGUUCUGCUCUUGAGUUCAAGAAAAGUAUAUGAAUCACUGUUGCUGGGUUUAUUAGAACAUACUGUGUCUUAUGAGCUGGAUUAGAUUUAUUGUGAGACAUAAGACUGAUCCCAUUGGACUUGCAAACCAAUCUUGUCUCGUAGUUUAUGUAUGAUCUCUCUUUUAAGCAUCUCGACUAUACAUACCAAAAGUUAUGAUUUAUCUCCUCCAAAUUUUAAGAUGUGCUUUAUGUUGAUUGGCUGUAAACCAUACAGUUGGGACUCUGCCAAUGAUUUCAGUAUCAUUAGCAGUCUAGCACGUAUAGUAAUCAACAUUUUCAUUUGCUUUGCUGCUUGUAUGUUAUAUUUUGAUCACAUUCUUUUCCUCUAAUCCGUUAUGUUAAGUUAUACACUUAUGUGUUGGAUGUUCUUGCUUGCGAGAAUACUGAUAAGCAAAACGGCUCACUGGGUAAGCUAUUUCAGAAUGAGUUGAUUGUGGAUUCAACAAAAUAUUAUUAUAUUUACACACCACUUUGUCAUAAUAUACUGAUUUGGUACCCUUGCAAUAACUAUGUACCAUGCCACAGCAGUGUCGGCGAUUUGAUCGUAAAAAGACGAUCCGAUGUUACGUUGCUGGACAUAAGCACCGUAUUAUUAUUUUAUCAUAUUGUUUUAAGCAUGAUCUGCAGAUAAGGAUGAUGGCGCAUUCUGGUUAGACCACAGAAAAACCCUCCAGAAGGCCCGUUGCUUGCGCUUGGGAUGGUGUUCCAUCAGAUACGAUUCUGAUCGAUUCAGCAUUUCCCACAUCACCUGAACGUCCUGAUAUCCACAGGUUUGUACAUCAUCGUGAAGCUUCAAAAGCCCAGCACCUGCCCAAAACAAGCCCACACAGCUUUUGGGUGAUAUUUAUUUUGUGGUGCCACUAGUGGUACUAAAGCCAUAGAUCAGCUGCCGCGGACGACUUUUUUGGGCGUUCUUUUGCACACAAAGUUGUAGUUAAAAUAGUACUUUAAAGUUGUAGUGCCUUGGCAUAAAGUUGCACUGAAAAAGAUGUUGAUCCUACAGAGUGCUCAAUGCUCAUCUUUCGGCGUGAGGGCAAAAGUAUUGGUUGGUUACCACUUGCCACAUGAAUGAGGGGUGGCGGCACAGAAGAAUUAGAAAUUGGAUUGUGCAGGUAGUAGUAUGGCAUCGGGAUUGGCCGUAGGUCACGGGCUGAAUUGCAGCAUGCUUGAACAACAAAUGAGAGGGGUCCCCCAAUGGGCCCGCUUGCCCGAACAUAUCUUGACAGUAUGAGGUGCAGGUUCACCCUCUCAGGCAGAUGAACCCAUCAAGGUCCUCUCUCAAUUGGUUGUCUAAAAAGCAACAUUCUCUACUUUAGCUACUUACUUUUUCAAUACACGUACCCAUAAAUCUUCUAAAUAUAGAAAAAGGGUAGAGAAUACUACGGCGCUUAUCUAAAUAUAAAGAAUCACUGACACUACCUUAAUUUUAAAGAUUCUAGAGAUAAUGGUUGGAAUAAAAUUUUGGGUCUUAUUAAUUAAAAAUGUAAAGAAUUUUUAUGUUUUAGGCAAUUUA